rnacentral:rRNA from 1 species
UACAGAGGGUGCGAGCGUUGUCCGGAAUUACUGGGCGUAAAGGGCGCGUAGGUGGCGCCGCAAGUCCGUGGUGAAAGCUCGAUGCUCAACAUCGAGUCGGCCACGGAGACUGCGGGGCUCGAGCACUGUAGGGGCAGAUGGAAUUCCGGGUGUAGCGGUGGAAUGCGUAGAGAUCCGGAAGAACACCGGUGGCGAAGGCGGUCUGCUGGGCAGUUGCUGACACUGAGGCGCGACAGCGUGGGGAGCAAACAGG